ACCAAAGGAUAGAUAUUUUCCAGAUGUCUGGACUUUGGUUGGGAAAUUAAAAGGAUACAAUUUUCAAGGCAGGCAAAGAUCUCAUCUUGCUCAACCCACUGUUGGCUGCAUAUGUCUCUAUAACUUAGCACAUCUUUCUUGACUAUCUUAUUCCAUCACAGGUCCGUACUCUUCUCGACUUUUAUAAUAUACAACAUCAACUCCUCUUGAUGGUGCAUCUGCAGACCAUAUAUUUAGGUGUGAUAAUAUCCUAUUUAUCUUCUCAGACUAGUAUUCCCAUCUCACAAGGGUAAUUUUUUUCAACUUACCUUGCCUGAUACUACCAUCUAACAGGUUUAACACUCUGGUUUUCUAUGUGCUUAACUUGUGCAUUGAAAUGUCUUUGAGAUGAUUCCGACGAGGUUUAUCGCAAUCCUCAUUUUGCAUCGUUAACUGCCUGGAAUUAACUUCAUAACCAAACAAGAAAAAAGAAAAGAAAGACGAGAAUGCAUAGCUUAAAGUGGAAGCAAAACUAACCCCAUCAAAAAAUCCAAUUUUUGGGGACGGCAUUCUCAGGCCUGAUGGUCUUGCAGAAUGAGAAAGAGUGCCAGCUUGUGAGGAGGAUUUCCUUGGACCUCCAUUUUGUAUCACAAUUUCCUCAUUCCCAUGUUGUUCUAUGAUCUGAUUAUUUGAAUCAUUAUGCAAAGGAAUGGUGUCAUUGUCCAAAGAUCUGCAAGAAUUAGCAUCAAAGCUAGUCCUUGAUGUAUUGGACCUCUGAUUGAUUGUACUUGAAGAAGAUGAAGAAGCUGAGGACCAUUCACUGAUAGAACUAGCAGGUGAUAUGCUUGGAGAGAUCUUGGAAGACAUCAGAUAUGCUGAGACAGCAGAAUUUCCACAGGUUCUCUUAGCAGUUUUUAAUGGGGUUUUGAGCACCGAACCAGA
rnacentral:lncRNA from 1 species